AUCUUGCUGAAAGUUUCUGAGAAAUCUUGUUGUAGAGUGAUGCUUUUUUCUCUUUAGCUAGCAAGUUUUUUAUACUAUUGUAUGCAGCAUCACGCCAUCAAGUGCCUCUUCAAAGGGUAGUGGUUAUGGUUUUGCUGAUAAGAUUUCAUGGAAGAUGGAGUAGGGAGUAGUGGAGUAACAUACAGAGAUAAGCAACCCUGGGUUGCGUCUUUUCAACCUCAUUGGCAACACGGAGGAUGGGAGCUAUCUCGACAAGAGAGGAGGGUACCACCUCACUGUCGAAUAUCGACUCCCCGAGUUUCCCCGCCGUCUGUGUCCGCAUGAUCCGCCUCUGUGGCGCCUCCGAGGAGGGCCCCGCCCCUCCGGACGAUAUCCUACUCCUCUGAUCUCCUCUCCUAUUUUCUCUUCUUCACUUCACAAACAAUGAGCCUAGAGAUUCCAGCAGAAUCUGCAGUGCAGAGGACAGUGUGUGAGAAACUUAACUGAAAUGACAUUGAAUGCUUGUGGAAAAGACAAGAGCUGGAUGGUUACCUUAUGAAGCACAAGAGAGAAACCCUAGAAGAGCAAAACACACAGAAGAAGAGAGAAUGUGCCGUUUGGGUGAGGAUGGGGAUUCAAAGAGGGCAAGCUAAAGCUACUUCGAAGCAAAGGAAAAGGGGAAAAAGAAACUACAUCACACACACAGCUUUAUAUUAUAGUAAAAAUAAAAAUUUUCAAAUAAACAGGGGAGAUGUAAAUUUGAAGGCCCAGGUUUCAAUUGCCUUAACUUUUCCCACCUUUGAGAAAAUCAGUUUUCAGAAGCUUGUCUUUGGACAAAGCUCUUCUAUUAUUCUAGCUUUUUGAGUCGUCUUUGAAUUUGAAUCAUGACAGUGAUCUACUGAAGCUGCUGGGCACUCUCUUGUCUCAGUUGUUGUGGACCAUAUAUUUAUUUGCAUCAAAGAUUCUGGUAUAUCUGCAACCUUUUACAUUAUUUAAUUGUAAUCUCCUUUACUGAUGAUCAAAUAUCAUAGAAUUAAUAGUUUAUGCAUAUACAUGGCAUACAAAAUGAUCAUACAAUUGCCAUUAAUUUGCAGAGUUCCAGCUUGAACUAUUAAUGCAGUCCCUUUUUCUCUCUUGGGUAAUUUCCUUAUUAUAUUCUUUUUUUGUGUCUUUAUUUGUGAAUCAUUCUUCCCUUCCUGGUACCGUUUGCGUCACCUGUUGAUGCCAUAGAAUUUGUGUAGAGAAAGGAGGAUUUAUAACAUGCAUGGAAUGAUGUAAGUGUUUAAAAGUUAAACAAAAAUCAAUCGAAUAUAUAUAUCAAGAAUCGGAUCAGGUGCUGGUGUAGUCUUAUGAGUACGAGCUAAAAUCUGCAUGCAAAAUAAAAUUCCUAACCCUAAUUAAAGUAAUAAACAUAGUACAAUUGGCAAAUAACAAAUAACAAAGUCCUUCCUUAAUGACAUUCCAUAUUAUAUUCUGAAGAUUAUCGUGAGAUACAUUAAAUAUGCAGGAUAUAUUGAAUUUUUUCUGAGAUAUUCCGACAUUAUUCUUCACGAUUGAUGCUACAUUACUCUUAUAUCUAGUAGGUACAAUAUAAUCAACUAGAAAAAGUUCCUCUAAAAGGAGAAUGUAAGGGUGUAUCCCCCGCUGAAUCAUUUUGUGAGUUAUGAUUACAAUACUUUUGUUGAUCUAGACUUACAUAAACAUAAACCCUUGCCUUCAUAUUUGAAAAGCAAGCUGACUCUAGAGUAAUGGUUAAUACAUAAGGGCAUAUUUGUCUUGCAUGUUCAUGCAAUUUAUACUGGAAGUAUUACACAGUAAAUUUGGAAAAUGUAUUUGAAUAUGGCUUGAUGAGGUUAAAAAUGUUUUAUCUCAGUAUUCAAAUCCCAGAGAUGAGAAACUCCCUCUACAUGUUUAUCUUGGAUGAUCUUAUUCAGCAUUUGCUGAUUUUAAAUACAUUAAUGAAAAAUGUUUAUCUAGUUCUCUCUGCAUUGGCAAGUUGCUGUGUCUAUUGGUCCUUUGAUGUGCCAUAAUAUUUCUGGCAUCCCCUGGGGAACAAUUAAUUGUGUAUAUAUUUUCCUUGCAGGCAAGUCUUUCGAAGGGAGAAAAUGACAGUAGUUUGACCAAGAUUACCAUUGCAGGUCUAUGUUUAAGUGACAAGUUUUCACACCUGCCAUGUACGUUAGUGCAGCCAUCUAUGCAUUCUGUUAAAAGAGAGUAUUUUCAUGUGCCAGAAUUUGGUAAUGCUUUAUUAAUUUAAUUUUGCAAUACUGGUAAGGAUAAUUUUGUUUCGGUGUUGUCCAGUAAUGUGUUGUAAAUUUAUUGAAAAAGUUAGACAAUGAUGGCAUAACAUUUAUUUAAUAUUACAUACCUUCACAUUAACGAUAACAACGACGACAACAACAACAACAACAAAGCUUUGUCCUACUAAAUAGGGAUUACUACAAGGAUCAAAUGACACCAUUGUGCCUGUCACCAAUGAUGCCUGAACAUAGCCAUAUAUUCCUUGCUUGAUUAAAUUUAUUCAACCUCAUUUUCUCCCUCUUGCAGCUAGAAGCUUUUGCAUCCAAUAUAUCCACUUGGAGAACAGCAGUGGCAAUUGAUUGAGGGAACUCCUCUAAUCUGCCUCCAUUCCCUUCAGAUUGUGCCUUCUCCACUUCCACCAUUUUUUGCUUCUCAAACUGUUAUUAACUGUCAGCCUCUUAUGUGGACUAGAUCUUAUGGUUCCUUUGGACAAGGCCAAGUUGGAUAUUUCUAAAAGCAACUAAGAAUCGUCAAACCUCCUUUGCUGGUGCAAGGAUUCACCCUCAAUGAAACUAAGAAUACUGAAACUGGAUAAGGAUCCUGCUUGUUUCUGUCUUUAGGAAGGUCAACCAAUUGAUGCUAGCCAGAGAAAGUGGAGUGCCAAAGCAGCCCAGAUUACUUUAUCUCUGGAAGCAUGUACUGGCCCACCUGCACUUCACAAUUCUCUUGCAGCCCUGAUUACUUUAAUAAAUUUCUGUUUCUGUCUUUUUACGUGUAUUUUGGGAGAGUUGGUGAGAAAAUAGCAGUGGCUGGAAAAAGUAAACAAUUGGAGGGAAUUAAGAGCAAAUCUUCUGGCGAAAAGUUAAUGGACAUAACUCCUAGUGACAGUGCUGCAAGUUUGGCAGUUAAAGACCCUUCAACUUCGAUUUCUUGAGUCUUCACCAUUGAAUGUCGAGGGAAUGCCUCUAGUUUAGUUUGUUGGAAAUGAUUUGUUCAUUAGUGCCACUCAUAGAACCUUUGGUCCACCGCACGCUGGGAGUGUUCAGAUAGAUUGCGUAGAUGCUGAGAAGCACAUAGCAGGAGAGAAUGGCUCAUUCUUAAGUUCUGGAGAAAAUAUUCCUUCAAGCAGUGAUAAUGGAAACCGUCAACUGAGAACUGUAUUGAACAUUCCGUCGCCAGAAGGUAUUAAAGAAUUAUGAGUGAUCUAGAGUCUAAAGUGGUGAUAGUUGGGAAAAUAAGGUGCCUUCAGCUUUCAUCUUCUUUCUUUAGAUGAAAAACAGAACUUCAACUAUAAUGGGGGAUCAGAGUUCCAAUUAUGUGUAAGACAUGGUCAUGGAUGUUAAGCUUUCAUCCCUUGUAGCGCAGUAACCACUUUUUCAAGCUGAAACUGAAAAAGUAAUCAUAUGGGGUUGGUUUAACCAUGGAAACUUGGGAUACAUGAGAACUCAAUCAAAUCAUUCUGAAUCUGACGCAAGCUAAGCAUGGACAAUAUCAGCAUGAUGUGAUGUAACUAAAUUAACAAGAAAUGCACCAUCCUUCUGACGAGCAUUUCCUAACCAAUACAUAAAAAUUAUCUUAGAAAGAGAAAUCAAGCCUCUUGUUUUUCUUU